rnacentral:misc_RNA from 1 species
GAUGAAGAACGUAGCGAAAUGCGAUAAGUAAUGUGAAUUGCAGAAUUCAGUGAAUCAUCGAAUCUUUGAACGCACCUUGCGCUCCUUGGUAUUCCGGGGGGCAUGCCUGUCCGAGCGUCAUUGCUGCCCUCAAGCACGGCUUGUGUGUUGGGCCUCCGUCCUCCUCCCGGGGGACGGGCCCGAAAGGCAGCGGCGGCACCGCGUCCGGUCCUCGAGCGUAUGGGGCUUCGUCACCCGCUCUUGUAGGCCCGGCCGGCGCUUGCCGACACAUCAAUCUUUUUUCCAGGUUGACCUCGGAUCAGGUAGGGAUACCCGCUGAACUUAAGCAUAUCAAUAAGCGGAGGA